rnacentral:siRNA from 1 species
UGGCCAUAAUUAAUUAUUGGA